UACCAGCACCCCGAGUGGUCGGGACGUUUAUUGGGCCUAAAGCAUCCGUAGCCGGUUCUGCAAGUCUUCCGUUAAAUCCACCUGCUUAACAGAUGGGCCGCGGAAGAUACUAUAAGACUAGGAGGCAGGAGAGGCAAGCGGUACUCAGUGGGUAGGGGUAAAAUCCGUUGAUCCAUUGAAGACCACCAGUGGCGAAGGCGGCUUGCCAGAAUGCGCUCGACGGUGAGGGAUGAAAGCUGGGGGAGCAAACCGG
rnacentral:rRNA from 1 species